UCACCUGUUUAUCAAAAACAUGUCUUAAUGAAAAAUAAUUUUAAGUCUAAUCUGCUCAAUGAAUAAUUUUAAAUAGCUGCAGUAUAAAUAACUGUCAAAGGUAGCAUAAUAAUUUGUUUUUUAAUUGAAAACUAGAAUGAAUGAUUAAAUGAAAUAUAAACUAUAUCAAAUUUAAAAAAUAAAUUUAUUAUUUAAAUAAAAAAAUUUAAAUAAUUUUUAAAGACGAGAAGACCCUAAAGAAUUUUAAUAAUAAAUUAUAAUAUAAAUUUAAAAUUUAUUAUAUUAAUUGGGGAAAUUUUAAAAUUUAAAAAAUUUUUAAUUAAAUAAACAUAAAUUUUUGAAUAUUUAAAAUUUUUUUAAAAAAUGAAAUUAAAUUACCUUAGGGAUAACAGCAUAAUUUUUUUAAAAAGUUCAAAUUUAUAAAAAAGUUUAUGACCUCGAUGUUGAAUUAAGAUUAAAUUUAAUAGAAAAUUAUUAAAAAUUUAAGU
rnacentral:rRNA from 1 species